AUUGAACGCUGGCGGCAUGCCUAACACAUGCAAGUCGAACGAGUGGAGGACGGGCGAGCAAUGUAUGGGAACCUGGCUGACCGAGCGGGCAAACUACGGGAAACGGUAGCUAAUACCGCAUACCACUCGUUCUGCUGACGUGGGAUUAGCUAGUAGGUGGGGUAAAGGCUCACCUAGGCGUCGCUCCCUAGCAGGUCUGAGAGGAUGACCAGCCACACUGGAACUGAGACACGGUCCAGACUCCUACGGGAGGCAGCAGUAGGGAAUAUUGCGCAAUGGGCGCAAGCCUGAUGGAGCCACGCCGCGUGUGUGAAGAAGGCCUUCGGGUUGUAAAGCACUGUCGUCGGGGAAGCGGUACCCACCCAAGAAGCACCGGCUAACUCCGUGCCAGCAGCCGCGGUAAUAC
rnacentral:rRNA from 1 species